UACGGAGGGUGCGAGCGUUGUCCGGAAUCAUUGGGCGUAAAGGGCGCGUAGGUGGCGCGGUAAGCGUGCGGUGAAAGCCUGGGGCUCAACCCCGGGUCGGCCGUGCGAACUGCUGGGCUUGAGCACUGUAGAGGCAGGCGGAAUUCCGGGUGUAGCGGUGGAAUGCGUAGAGAUCCGGAAGAACACCGGUGGCGAAGGCGGCCUGCUGGGCAGUUGCUGACACCGAGGCGCGACAGCGUGGGGAGCAAACAGG
rnacentral:rRNA from 1 species